UACACUCCUACGGGAGGCAGCAGUGGGGAAUUUUGGACAAUGGGCGAAAGCCUGAUCCAGCAAUGCCGCGUGAGUGAAGAAGGCCUUCGGGUUGUAAAGCUCUUUUGUCAGGGAAGAAACGGUGAGAGCUAAUAUCUCUUGCUAAUGACGGUACCUGAAGAAUAAGCACCGGCUAACUACGUGCCAGCAGCCGCGGUAAUACGUAGGGUGCAAGCGUUAAUCGGAAUUACUGGGCGUAAAGCGUGCGCAGGCGGUUUUGUAAGUCUGAUGUGAAAUCCCCGGGCUCAACCUGGGAAUUGCAUUGGAGACUGCAAGGCUAGAAUCUGGCAGAGGGGGGUAGAAUUCCACGUGUAGCAGUGAAAUGCGUAGAUAUGUGGAGGAACACCGAUGGCGAAGGCAGCCCCCUGGGUCAAGAUUGACGCUCAUGCACGAAAGCGUGGGGAGCAAACAGGAUUAGAAACCCCGGUAGUCCCAUG
rnacentral:rRNA from 1 species